rnacentral:tRNA from 1 species
GCUCCCGUGGCCUAGUUGGUCAUGGCAUUGGUCUUAUGAGCCGAGGAUCGCGGGUUCGAUCCCCGCCGGGAGCA